CUUUUAUGGAGAGUUUGAUCCUGGCUCAGGACGAACGCUGGCGGCGUGCCUAAUACAUGCAAGUCGAGCGAAUCUUUGGGAGCUUGCUCCUAAAGAUUAGCGGCGGACG
rnacentral:rRNA from 1 species